GCUCUUGCCGGCAAUCAGGUGACCGAUGUCGUCAUCGAUGUCGUCCCCGGUUUCCAAGACGCUAUCGCGGUGAAUCAGUAACGGCUUACCCUACACUUCAUCCCGCGGUGGCUGAGAACGGCCCGGAAUACCGGAAGCAAGAUACACCAUUAAUUAUAGCCGUUUCCUUCCGGCCAACCGCCCCGGGCUCAACAUUUUCACGAGGUAUCCAGUAGCGCAGCCGAUCAAUCCCGUAUCCGAACCUAUCCCUUUGACAGUGAAAGGUUAUAUUUUUGGUGCGCCACGUAAGAUAAAGAUACCUGGAGGACACGGUGACGUGGCUUGUCAGUUAAGCACUCGGCUCACAACGCUCGUCAGUAUUGCCAAGGCUAGGACUUUCCGAUGGAGGUGUCUGCAAGCUCAGGUUGUAUACUGCAGAGAAAAGGGGACAUCCGCUUCAUUCAAAGGUGUAUGACGUUCAAAAGAAAAGUUUUCACUAUUAAAAGGACGGGAUGACCAGAGGCCGAAUCGAUCCCGGACUGUGAAGUUGGGGGUACAACUAGCUUCCCUACUUAGUUUCCGUCAAGAGCCCAGGCAGUUCGACAGGGCGUGGAGUGGGCCCGGAUGCGCCUAGAGCGAUCCACAACUUCGUGUUUAGUGCGGUGGAUCUUCCAGCCCUUCCCGCUGUCAAAACUGGAGCACUUGCCGGGGUGGGCGACGCUACGUACUGUACUAGCUGAACCACUCGCAACACUACGCUCCAUGACCAUUCGUUGUACAGCAUCCUGAUACCGCUUCUACUCGCUCGUAACAGGAAUGCUCAGACCGGGAAGGCCACACCUUGUGCGGGCAUCUUGAGCUUGCUCUCAGUUCCAUGUGCAGCAUCUUGCCAACUGGAUUGGCUGAACAACCUUGCAUUGUCCACAAAACAUCUCUGUACGACUAAGCAAAUACGGUUUAGUCGGACCGGGAAGCUGAAGAAAGUGGACUGUGGUCUAAACUAGGUAACACGACACAACUGGUCAGAGCACUUGAAAACGACCACCAACCUUUGUCCUUUUGACCGGGCACUCACCGGUUAUGAGUUUCACGCAACGAUACCAUGACCUAGGGGCAGCCGGCUGGUC